rnacentral:tRNA from 1 species
GGGGUUGUGGCUCAGAGGUAGAGUGCUUGCCUAGCAUGCAUGAGGCACUGGGUUUGAUCCUCAGCACCACA